rnacentral:rRNA from 1 species
GACGAACGCUGGCGGCGUGCUUAACACAUGCAAGUCGAACGGAAAGGCCUGCUUUCCCUUGUGGAUUGCGGGUGCUCGAGUGGCGAACGGGUGAGUAACACGUGAGUGAUCUGCCCCCAACUUGGGUAUAAGCCUGGGAAACUGGGUCUAAUUCCCGAUAGGACUGCAGGGUGGUGCCUGUGGUGGAAAACGAUUUUCUAGUGGUUGGGGAUGAGCUCGCGGCCUAUCAGCUUGUUGGUGGGGUAAUGGCCUACCAAGGCGGCGACGGGUAGCCGGCCUGGGAGGGUGGACGUCCACAUUGGGACUGAGAUACGGCCCAGACUCCUACGGGAGGCAGCAGUGGGGAAUAUUGCACAAUGGGCGGAAGCCUGAUGCAGCGACGCCGCGUGGGGGAUGACGGCCUUCGGGUUGUAAACUCCUUUCGACCGCGAGGAAGCCACCUGGUUGGAAGGGUGGUGACGGUAGUGGUAGAAGAAGCACCGGCUAACUACGUG